rnacentral:rRNA from 1 species
CGAUGCCUAAGACAUGCAAGUCGAACGAGGUGGCCCAAUGAAGAUGGAGUGCUUGCACAAAGUUGGAUUUGGUUUACCACUUAGUGGCAGACGGGUGAGUAACACGUGGGUAACCUACCUCAAAGACUGGGACAACAGUUGGAAACGACUGCUAAUACCGGAUAAUCCAUAUUUAGAUAACUAGAUAUGUUAAAAGAAGCGUUUGCUUCACUUUGAGAUGGGCUUGCGGCGCAUUAGAUAGUUGGUGGGGUAAUGGCCUACCAAGUCGACGAUGCGUAUCCGAGCUGAGAGGCUGAUCGGACACACUGGGACUGAGACACGGCCCAGACUCCUACGGGAGACAGCAGUUAGGAAUAUUCGUCAAUGGGGGAAACCCUGAACGAGCAAUGCCGCGUGAGUGAUGAAGGCCCUAUGGGUCGUAAAACUCUGUUAUAAGGGAAGAAACCUUGGUAUAGGAAAUGAUAUCAAGCUGACGGUACCUUAUCAGAAAGCCCCGGCUAACUACGUG